UGAUGCUCUUUGCUUUCUCUCCGCUAGGUCUAUAACACAGUUCCUCUACUGUGACCCUCAGCCAUGCUGUCCUGCUUCAGAGCCACAGGACUAUGGCCUGAAAUGUGAGCUAAAAUAAUUCUCUCUGUCCUGAUGAUGCAGGUAUUGGGUAUUGUGUCUCUAAAACCUGAAAAGUGACUGUGUCUGUCAUCUUAUUUGCAUCUCACUCCAAAUUAAUGUAUCCUGCAGUGUCUCCUGAAUUUGUUCACCAAAGUGUAAUCCUCAAUCAUUCCCAUUCUCCUGAAGAUUUGAGCCAAUCUCCUGACAAAACUGACACCACUUCUAGGCUGACUUGGCAGCUGCUGAGCUCUGGAGACCUGAGAGCUUCUGCGGACCUGGAUACUGAGAGACCCUUCAGAGCACCAGUCCUGAGAACAUCCUAAGUACACUGUGAAAUAUGAAUUCACAUACCUUGAGUGCCUGGGAGAAAGUAUUAAGAUGCUCUGUCUGUAGGAACCUCCCCAUCGACCCUGUUACCAUACCCUGUGGGGACAGUUUUUGCCGUUCCUGCCUCCUCUUCUGCUGGGACGAAAAAGCCCAGACUCGAAAGCGCUGUCCUCUGUGCAGGACUGUAACAAACCCUCUGGACAUCCGAACUGAUCCUGUCCUUGACCACUUGGCUUCCCUCAUCAGAAAGGCCAGACCCAAAUAUGCCACUAUCUGUGAGGAGCAGACCAGGGCAGAGGCUGCUGAAUGAAGAAAAUAGGGUAGAGGGUGCUUGUUUCAAAGAGAAAAAUAUGCAUAAUUAGAA